rnacentral:rRNA from 1 species
GACGUAGGUGGCGAGCGUUAUCCGGAAUUAUUGGGCGUAAAGAGUGCGCAGGCGGUCUAUUAAGUCUAGGGUCAAAUACUGAAGCUCAACUUCAGCUCGCCCUGGAAACUGGUAGACUAGAGUGCAGAAGAGGGAAGUGGAAUUCCAUGUGUAGCGGUAAUAUGCGUAGAUAUAUGGAGGAACACCAGUGGCGAAGGCGGCUUCCUGGUCUGUAACUGACGCUCAUGCACGAAAGCGUGGGGAGCAAAUAGG